AGACGUUUGGCAAGUAGACUGAGUGGUUAGUGCCAACAGUAAUCACUUGUUGGCACUAACCACUCAGUCUACUUGCCAAACGUCU
rnacentral:pre_miRNA from 1 species